rnacentral:tRNA from 1 species
GGAGGGAUGGCAGAGCGGACGAUUGCGGAGGUCUUGAAAACCUCUGGGCCCUCGGGUCCCGCGGGUUCGAAUCCCGCUCCCUCCGCCC